UAGCUUGCUAGAGAUGAUUAGUGGCGGACGGGUGAGUAACAUUUAGGAAUCUGCCUAGUAGUGGGGGAUAGCUCGGGGAAACUCGAAUUAAUACCGCAUACGACCUACGGGUGAAAGGGGGCGCAAGCUCUUGCUAUUAGAUGAGCCUAAAUCAGAUUAGCUAGUUGGUGGGGUAAAGGCCCACCAAGGCGACGAUCUGUAACUGGUCUGAGAGGAUGAUCAGUCACACCGGAACUGAGACACGGUCCGGACUCCUACGGGAGGCAGCAGUGGGGAAUAUUGGACAAUGGGGGCAACCCUGAUCCAGCCAUGCCGCGUGUGUGAAGAAGGCCUUUUGGUUGUAAAGCACUUUAAGCAGGGAGGAGAGGCUAAUGGUUAAUACCCAUUAGAUUAGACGUUACCUGCAGAAUAAGCACCGGCUAACUCUGUGCCAGCAGCCGCGGUAAUACAGAGGGUGCGAGCGUUAAUCGGAAUUACUGGGCGUAAAGCGAGUGUAGGUGGCUCAUUAAGUCACAUGUGAAAUCCCCGGGCUUAACCUGGGAACUGCAUGUGAUACUGGUGGUGCUAGAAUAUGUGAGAGGGAAGUAGAAUUCCAGGUGUAGCGGUGAAAUGCGUAGAGAUCUGGAGGAAUACCGAUGGCGAAGGCAGCUUCCUGGCAUAAUAUUGACACUGAGAUUCGAAAGCGUGGGUAGCAAACAGGAUUAGAUACCCUGGUAGUCCACGCCGUAAACGAUGUCUACUAGCCGUUGGGGUCCUUGAGACUUUAGUGGCGCAGUUAACGCGAUAAGUAG
rnacentral:rRNA from 1 species